UAGGGAAUCUUCCGCAAUGGGCGAAAGCCUGACGGAGCAACGCCGCGUGAGUGAUGAGGGUCUUCGGAUCGUAAAACUCGGUUAUUAGGGAAGAACAAAUGGGUAAGUAACUAUGCACGUCUUGACGGUACCUAAUCAGAAAGCCACGGCUAACUACGUGCCAGCAGCCGCGGUAAUACGUAGGUGGCAAGCGUUAUCCGGAAUUAUUGGGCGUAAAGCGCGCGUAGGCGGUUUUUUAAGUCUGAUGUGAAAGCCCACGGCUCAACCGUGGAGGGUCAUUGGAAACUGGAAAACUUGAGUGCAGAAGAGGAAAGUGGAAUUCCAUGUGUAGCGGUGAAAUGCGCAGAGAUAUGGAGGAACACCAGUGGCGAAGGCGACUUUCUGGUCUGUAACUGAUGCUGAUGUGCGAAAGCGUGGGGAUCAAACAGG
rnacentral:rRNA from 1 species